rnacentral:pre_miRNA from 13 species
CACUUACUGAGGGCUCAAAUUGACUCUAGUAGGGAGUCUUAAUCUUUAACGACUCCCUAAUGGAGUCAGAUUGAGUCACUUUGAGUUAAUACAAUCA